UGUCAGUCCUCAGAAAAGCUUGCCAUGGAAAAAAUGCCUGGUCAUCAGCCUGACCAGAUGAACUGGGUCCUGGCCCAUGGAUAACACGAGACAUAGCAUUCAAGGGCAGGCUGUCUG
rnacentral:lncRNA from 1 species